rnacentral:rRNA from 1 species
UACAGAGGGUGCAAACGUUGCUCGGAAUUAUUGGGCGUAAAGCGCGUGUAGGCGGCUUGUUAAGUUGGUUGUGAAAACCCAUGGCUCAACCAUGGAAGUGCGUCCAAAACUGGCAAGCUAGAGUUCUGACGAGGAUGGCGGAAUUCCCAGUGUAGAGGUGAAAUUCGUAGAUAUUGGGAGGAACACCGGUGGCGAAGGCGGCUAUCUGGGAAGAUACUGACGCUGAGACGCGAAAGCGUGGGAGCAAACAGG